rnacentral:rRNA from 1 species
ACGUAGGGUGCGAGCGUUAAUCGGAAUUACUGGGCGUAAAGCGUGCGCAGGCGGUUCGUUAAGUUCGUUGUGAAAGCCCCGGGCUCAACCUGGGAACUGCAAUGGAAACUGGCGGGCUUGAGUAUGGCAGAGGGGGGUGGAAUUCCGCGUGUAGCAGUGAAAUGCGUAGAGAUGCGGAGGAACACCGAUGGCGAAGGCAGCCCCCUGGGCCAAUACUGACGCUCAGGCACGAAAGCGUGGGGAGCAAACAGG